CAAUUUGCGCACCUUCUCUUAAAGUGGCUUCGCCACUGGAUCUCUCCUUGUGAUUCUUUGAGAUAAGGAAGUGUGCGAGCGUUAGUCUCUUAGGUUCUAAAACUGAUAAUAGUUUGAAUUUCGAUAUCGGAGAUUUUUUAUUUUUGAACUCUUUCUUCAGUGAGCUUACCAAAUGGAGGUCAAAUUAGAGAAAAAGGACGCAGCUGAUUGGGUUUAUAGAGGCGAAGGUGCUGCUAACUUAGUCCUCGCUUACGCCGGAUCAUCUCCCCUCUUUAAUGGGAAGGUAACGAGAAUCCAAAAGAUAGCUAGGAACGGUUCUUCACAUUGUCUGGAUGAUCACACAGUUUUAACAGAGCAUGAAAGGUUGCUAUGGAGAGAAUUAGAAGAACUAGAAUCAUCUCCUACAAAAGAAUUGGCGGAGUUGCUUUAUGUUCGGCAUGUCAUGAGCCCUUUGUUGGGUCCCAAACACGUUGAUGCUGGUAUGCAUGUCCUAGUUUCUAAAGAAUUUCUUGAAACUAUAGAGAAAAAAGUGAGCUGCCAGCGUCCUGCUUGGCGAGUUGAUGCUGCCAAGAUUAAUACAGAAUGUGAUUUUGUGCUUAUCAUGACCGAUCAUUCUCUAUUUCCUAAUGGUGUUCGUAAUGCUGGGCCCUGCAUAUCUGUUGAAAUAAAGCCCAAAUGUGGAUUUCUUCCUUUAUCAAGAUUCAUGGCUGAAAGAAAUGUCAUUAAAAGGAGCACAACUCGUUUUAGAUUACACCAAGUCCUAAAGUUGAGCCAACAUGAGAUAUUGGAGUUCAGCCAAUAUGAUCCUCUGGAUAUUUUCUGUAGUUCCAAGGAAAGAAUACAUAAAGCUAUCAAUGAUCUCUACAAUACUCCACAAAAUAAUUUCCGUGUGUUCUUAAAUGGAUCCAUUAUAUUUGGGGGCUUGGGUGGUGGCACAAAUAAAACUAGUAUCAUGAUUGAAAAAGCUUUUGAAGAUGCAUUGAAGGGAGUCAUCCAGGCAGAAGAUGGUUUGCGUACAAGGAGUUUCAUAGAGCUUGUUGCUGAGACAGUCUAUAGCUCUCAAGUGCUGGAUCGGCUUCUUGAAGUUCAAAAACUUGAUAGUUUUGAUAUCGAAGGGGCAAUUCAUGCUUAUUAUAACAUUAUUUCUCAGCCUUGCAUGGCAUGUAGUGAAUUGGAUGAAGCAAGACUUCAACCUAGGUUUGCCUCGUUGCAUUCCAUUCCUUUGGAUGAAAGCUUGAAGAUUGUAAGGGAUUUUUUAAUAGCUGCAACUGCAAAAGACUGUAGUUUGAUGAUCAGUCUUAAACCAAGAGAAGAUAUGGAUUUUGGGUCUCCAUAUAGCAAUAUAUAUCUGAAAUCAACCCACCAAAACUUUGAUUACAAGGUGAAUUUCAUUGACCUGGAUUUGAAACCUUUAAAAAAGAUGGAAACCUAUUAUGAAAAAGACAAGAAGAUACUGAAGGCCUAUUCUGAGGCAGCAGAAACAAAACAUAUUAAAGGCAACACUCUGGUUAUGGAGGCUUAUGAAACUGUAAAUUGACAUUCAACAAGACUCUGGAGCAUUCUCACUUAACUGAAACUCUACCGCAACUGUAUGAAGAUAAGCAAGACUGAUAACCGGACAUGGUAUCCUGCAGCCAAGAUUUGAAGGUCUGACGGGUGUUGUGGGAUUUUCCAAGUAGAACAAACGGGCAGAAGUGGUCCAAUACAUUGGCAGCAGAGUGCAGCUUUGCCAUGUGCUUGAUAAUGAGGUGCUUAAUUCAUUGAAUGUAUCUGUGUCUAUAAGAACAGGACCUUUAUAGGACCUCUGAAGUAUGUACAACAAAACAAUGGCAUAAAAAUGGAGUAGAUUAAUGCACUGUUGCAUUAAUUUAAACAAAUUCAUUUCUGCAACUUACCCAUCACCAGAAAUCCAAUAAUGCAAUUAUUGAAUAAAUUUAAUGGAAGGAACCAUUUUGGGUGUCAGUGCUGAAUCUGGUCUAUGUGUGGACAUGGACGCAAUUUCCGUAUCCAUGGAGGGUAUGGAUGAGCAAUUGUGAGCCACUAGCAUCCCUUUUAGCCAAUAAUUUUUCUUUUUUGGGUACAACUCUUAGCUAAUAAUUUGCUAAGCUGGAGUGUGAAAUCUGAAAAAUUAACUGUUGCUAAUAUGAGAAGAUCAAAUGUGAAGGCAUGUUCAAAGUAGCUAGUAAAUUUUGCAUUCGAUGAAGUAUUGUGGAAAACUAUAGUGGAGCUGCUCUGUUCAAAAUGCAGGCAGAAAGUGAUGAAGUUAAUUGCAACAAUAGAAGGGAUAACUUGACUUCUGUGUUCUUGACUCGACUGAGUAUACAGUGACCGUGAUUGGUGAAGCUGACCCAUUGAAGAUUGUUAACAAGGUCAGGAAAUCUCGAAGCUCUGCAGCAAUUGAGAGCAUAGGGCCUUCCAAGGAAGAGAAGAAGGAUGAUAAAGGUUCAUUGAGGAAAGAAGUGAUCGUUCCUUGUGCUCCAACGACAUGUCAGAGAUGCGAUGUCUGGUACGUGGUUGGUGAUGAAUUUUGAGAGUUAUUGUUGUAUCAUGUGAACAAGAAAAAAAGAAAUUUCCCCUUUACGAAGUAGAUUUUGUAGUUAGAGUUUAUCAAAAUGUUAUGUUUCAUGUACCAAUCAUCUGUAUAUUCUAUUGCAUGUGAAUGAAAAUUUUCUUUUAGCUA